GUUCCUUUAACUCAGUUGGUUUAGAGUGUUACGUUUACACCGUAAAAGUCAAUAGUUCGAAUCUAUUAAGGAACACAA
rnacentral:tRNA from 1 species